AAGCGCUUGUGACCAGACUUGUGCCCGGCGGAUCAACCAGCGUUCUCGCUGGUGCACUCCUCCGGGCUCAGGCCAGCAUCGGUUUUCAUAGGGGGAUAAAAGCCUUGGGAAUGUGGCUCCUCCGGGAGUGUUAUAGCCCAUUGCAUAAUAUCCUGGGGUGGACUGAGGUUCGCGCAUCUGCAAGGAUGCUGGCGUAAUGGUCAUCAGCGA
rnacentral:rRNA from 1 species